CGAACGGGUGAGUAAUGCGUGACCAACCUGCCCCAUGCUCCAGAAUAGCUCUUGGAAACGGGUGGUAAUGCUGGAUGCUCCAACUUGACGCAUGUCUUGUUGGGAAAGUGUUUAGUGGCAUGGGAUGGGGUCGCGUCCUAUCAGCUUGUAGGCGGGGUAAUGGCCCACCUAGGCUUCGACGGGUAGCCGGCCUGAGAGGGCGGACGGCCACAUUGGGACUGAGGUACGGCCCAGACUCCUACGGGAGGCAGCAGAG
rnacentral:rRNA from 1 species